GCCUAACACAUGCAAGUCGAACGGGAACCCUUGGGAUUAUCUUGAGGGGGAGAGUGGCGAACGGGUGAGUAACACGUAGGUGACCUGCCUCGAAGACGGGGAUAACUUCUGGAAACGGUAGCUAAUACCCGAUGGUCUCGGUGAUUCGGUUCAUCGAGUAAAGGUUCCGACGCUUCGAGAGGGGCCUGCGGUCCAUCAGCUAGUUGGUAGGGUAAUGGCCUACCAAGGCAGAGACGGAUAGGGGACGUGAGAGCGUGGCCCCCCACACUGGCACUGAGACACGGGCCAGACUCCUACGGGAGGCAGCAGUGAGGAAUAUUGCGCAAUGGGCGAAAGCCAGACGCAGCAACGCCGCGUGGGUGAAGAAGGCCUUCGGGUUGUAAAACCCUUUUCUGGGGGACGAGAAAGGACGGUACCUCAGGAAUAAGCCUCGGCUAACUAUGUGCCAGCAGCCGCGGUAAUACGUAGGUGGCGAGCGUUGUCCGGAAUUACUGGGUGUAAAGGGCGUGUAGGCGGGAUUGUAAGUCAGAUGUGAAAUUCCAGGGCUUAACUCUGGAGGUGCAUCUGAAACUAUAAUUCUUGAGUGCUGGAGAGGAAAGCGGAAUUCCUAGUGUAGCGGUGAAAUGCGUAGAUAUUAGGAAGAACACCAGUGGCGAAGGCGGCUUUCUGGACAGUAACUGACGCUGAGGCGCGAAAGCGUGGGGAGCAAACAGGAUUAGAUACCCUGGUAGUCCACGCUGUAAACGAUGGAUACUAGGUGUAGGAGGUAUCGACCCCUUCUGUGCCGGAGUUAACACAAUAAGUAUCCCACCUGGGGAGUACGGCCGCAAGGCUGAAACUCAAAGGAAUUGACGGGGGCCCGCACAAGCAGUGGAGUAUGUGGUUAAUUCGAAGCAACGCGAAGAACCUUACCAGGGCUUGACAUCCCUCGGAUAACAUAGAGAUAUGUUAGUCCUUCGGGACGAGGAGACAGGUGGUGCAUGGUUGUCGUCAGCUCGUGUCGUGAGAUGUUGGGUUAAGUCCCGCAACGAGCGCAACCCCUAUUGUUAGUUGCCAUCAUUAAGUUGGGCACUCUAACGAGACUGCCGGUGACAAAUCGGAGGAAGGUGGGGACGACGUCAAAUCAUCAUGCCCCUUAUGUCCUGGGCUACACACGUACUACAAUGGUCACUACAAAGGGAAGCAAUACCGCAAGGAGGAGCAAAUCCCCAAAGGUGACCUCAGUUCGGAUUGUGGGCUGAAACCCGCCCACAUGAAGUCGGAAUUGCUAGUAAUGGCAGGUCAGCAUACUGUCGUGAAUACGUUCCCGGGCCUUGUACACACCGCCCGUCACACCAUGAGAGUUUGCAACACCCGAAGUCAGUAGCUUAACCGUAAGGAGGGCGCUGCCGAAGGUGGGGCAGAUGAUUGGGGUGA
rnacentral:rRNA from 1 species